rnacentral:lncRNA from 1 species
CAAAAAUCUCUGUUGUACCUGAGUCUUGUGUUGAUGCUUGCUUUGUCUCUUUAAAAUGUUUUAUGUCUUUCCUUUUCAUAUGUCUCCUAAUUUUUGGUUGAAACCCAGACAUAAUGUAUGAUGAAAUAGGAUUUCAUGAACAUAGGCUUUUAGUGUGAGGCCUUAUGAUUUCUUGAAUAGGAGUCAGACUAUGUUUCGUGUUUGCUGCAGCUGGAGGGGACAGGGGCUUCAUAGUCUGCAGUGUCCUUGCACUUAUCUCCCUGAUGUGUUGGGUUUCCCUAGAAACUCAUUCUUAAGUAGAGUCUGUGCUGUGCAGCUCUGUUUUCAUCCAGUGUUUCUAUCCUGGGACCCUGACGAUAUGGUGUCAGGGGUUUGAAAGGGAAAAUGUCCUCUUCUGUUAUGAUGAAGCCUGCAAUGUUUCAGUGGUAAAGAUUCCCUGGAUUAUGAACUUCAGAGCAGGUUCUUAGCGUUUUUAUUUCCUCCCCUUUGGUCAGAGAGAAGAGCUAAAGGGUGUGGGAGUUAUCUAACUGCACUUUCCCAAUUGUUAAAGCUUUGACAGAUUAGUUUCCUUUGAGGGAAGGUCCAAGUUACAAAGAACAAAAUGCUUUGUGUGUAUAUCAAAACAUUUCCCCCCAUUUCCUGCAUGAAACAGAAGGCCAUUUACUCCCAUCUUCACUAUGAGAACCAGGUUGGGCUGCUGAAGGAAACAUUCAUGAGUUGUGGGGGCCCCCUAAGGUCAGCUCCCCAAUAGCACUUAACUCUCAAGAUAAUCCAUACUGUGUUUCCAACAAUUCAUCGAUUAGUUUACGUGUUCCUAGAUGUGGCUGGCUCCCGUGGCUUCUAUUCUCAAUAAGUGGUUUUCCUCUACCAGUCUCUCAUUUUGGGGUCAUUGGUUUGUCCUGUAACCUCAAAUCUCUCGUGUAACAAGGAGAGGUAUUGCUUUUCAGGUGGUUCAGUUUUCUUCUUGUUGUGGAGAGCAAUCACUGCAAUCUGUACAUAUCGGAACAGAAACCAUCACUCACGUCUGUUUCUCGGCAUUUUCCUUUGUGAGACUGCACCAUUUUCACCUAUUGAUUCUACUCCUAGAGCAAUGUACUUUCUAAGGAGAGGAGGGCAAAGAGUUUCCUCAAAAUGUGACUUGCAUAAAAAAUUAGAGGUUUGAGGGCAGCAACAGGACCCAAAGGAAACUUCUGACAGCUUUUGGGACAAUGAUAAACACGGCAGUGGGACCCAUCAACCCCUUUUGUGUUCUCCGUCUUUCUCACCACUUCCGAGGGCUGCGCAUAAGUCCCUCUCAGUUCUGAGCUCCACUAUUUGCCUCAAGCUUGCAAUCUCGUUGGACUUCCAGUCAUUUCUCCAUUUUUCUGGAAUCACAAGUGCCGCAGUGGGAACUGCUGGUAGUUCAGGCCACAAUUCCCCAUUUCACUGGAGGCCCCAG